rnacentral:rRNA from 1 species
GACGUAGGGCGCGAGCGUUGUCCGGAUUUAUUGGGCGUAAAGAGCUCGUAGGCGGCUUGUCGCGUCGAAUGUGAAAUCUCAGGGCUCAACUCUGACAUUGCAUUCGAUACGGGCAGGCUAGAGUUCGGUAGGGGAGACUGGAAUUCCUGGUGUAGCGGUGAAAUGCGCAGAUAUCAGGAGGAACACCGGUGGCGAAGGCGGGUCUCUGGGCCGAUAUUGACGCUGAGGAGCGAAAGCGUGGGGAGCAAACAGG